UAAUAACAGUCAUGAAUUUAAGCUGUGCUUUAGUAUUAUUUAUGUUAUAGAAUUUAUUAUUUAGUAAAGCCAUAAUCUUGCCGCCUUAACUAGACAUUGGAUAGUAAGAUAAUUUGAAAGUUUCUAUACAUUAGCUCGACCUUCAAUUUGUUUAUGUUAAUUAUUAUUCAUUAAUUAUUACCGUUAUUGUCAAUCAGCAAUUUCUAAGUCUAUUUGUAAUCAAUGUUGUCAAACCAUAGCCACAUAAUUCGCUAACAUGACAAGGGAACUGCGAAUUGGUUUGUGAGUACCAAUUCGCGGUACUUUUAUGAAUUGGUACGGCAAGAUACGUCAUUAAUUCAAGGAAAGUGAAGUACCAGAGUAAAAGUUGGUCAUAGACCUAAUAAACCGUGGGAAGGGAGCAGAGCUCGCACUUUAUAAAGCGAUGUACCAACCCUAAAUGUGGGACUGUCUCAUUUGUUUCAAUGUGGGACUACCACAUUUGUUUGAUAGCUUAAACUAACGGGUGCGGCUACCAACCCUAAAUGUGGGACUGCACUAAUGGGAGUUGGAAUAACCACAUAAGUUAUACAAGGGAUGGCUGCGGCAGUGUUGCAAAUGACACAACAAUAUAAAAAGAUGAAUGCUCUCAUCUUACAAUUGAAGCAAAAAAAUAGUCAAAGAAUCGAAAGUGUUGCUAAAGCCAAAGGAUUGUCGAAAUUUAUCCGCAUUAAUCCAUCUAAGUUCAAAGGGGGUUAUGAUCCUGAUGGAGGAGAUUUUUAGAUCCGAGAAAUGGAAAAGAUUUUUGAAGCCAUGUCCUGUCUGACAAUUGGAGGGUCACUUAUGAAACCUUUAUGCUUGUUGGAGAAACGUACUAUUGGUGGGAGUGAGCUUGCCAGAGAGAGGGGGAGUUUUGGCAAUUGAAACAAGGGGGCUUGACUGUGGGUGAGUAUGUGACCAAGUUUGAGUAUCUAUCGAAAUUUUCAACGUGCCAUAGUGAGGAGUGGAAGUGUCGGAUGUUCAAGGAGGGGCUGAGCAAUGAGAUUAAGGAAGUUGUGAUGCUAGAGAUUAGGGAGUUCCAUGAGUUGCUGCAUAGGUGUAGUAGGGUUGAAGAAGUUAAUAAGUCUAGGGAGGAAAGUUUGCAAGAUUCUAGACCAUUGCGGGUAAAAAGGAGAGACAAUAAGUUCAAACAAAAGCCAUAUGCUCGACCUAUGGAUGAUCAACAAUUUUUGUCUGCUCUUGGAAGUGGCGAAGGGUCCAAUGAAUGGUAUGGAAAGGCACAUGAUGUGAAGACUUGUCCUGUUAAGGGAUUGGUUUGCUUUGGGUGCAAGAAGCCAGGACACUAUGCUUGGGAUUGCAAUUAGUCGAAGGAAGUACCAUGGGUUAACAAUGUUCAAGCAACAUGUUCAUUCACUCACAUGUGACGAGUCCUUUUCAUGCAUUCAGCGAGCGAUUCAAGUUUUUUGUUAACCAUGUUGCCAACCUUUUGGUGGAUUAUGGUGUAUUCUUGUGUUGUGUUGGAAUCAACGCUAGGUUGUAGGGUAUAUGCCUAUUGUUUUAAGUACUAUUUGAAAGCCUUUUUCAAAAACAAAAAUGUAUUUUGACAAGUAUGUAUGCAUUAUUGGCUAGUUGGGUAUCAAAAUCAUGUAUCAAGUGACGUGUGUCGUAGUAGGUGUGGAUUUGUUAUAAAGCCAAUAUAAACCAUCGUAAUCUUUUCUAGACUUGCAACCUUCAGAUAUGAUGGUCAUACAUGUUCAUUUGAUAUUAUCCAUUGAUUUUGAUCAUCAAUGGUUUAUAUUAGUGACUUUAUUAUUUAAA